GAUGAACGCUGGCGGCGUGCUUAACACAUGCAAGUCGAACGAGAAAUGGAGACGGACACCUUCGGGCGGAAGGCUUCAUUUCGAUUGGCGGACGGGUGAGUAACGCGUGGGUAACCUGCCUCAUACAGGGGGAUAACAGUUGGAAACGACUGUUAAUACCGCAUAAGACCACAGCACCGCAUGGUGCGGGGGUAAAAACUCCGGUGGUAUGAGAUGGACCCGCGUUCGAUUAGCCAGUUGGCGGGGUAACGGCCCACCAAAGCGACGAUCGAUAGCCGAUCUGAGAGGAUGACCGGCCACAUUGGGACUGAGACACGGCCCAAACUCCUACGGGAGGCAGCAGUGGGGAAUAUUGCACAAUGGGGGAAACCCUGAUGCAGCGACGCCGCGUGAGUGAAGAAGUACUUCGGUAUGUAAAGCUCUAUCAGCAGGGAAGAAAAUGACGGUACCUGAGUAAGAAGCCCCGGCUAACUACGUG
rnacentral:rRNA from 1 species